rnacentral:rRNA from 1 species
AUUGAACGCUGGCGGCAUGCCUUACACAUGCAAGUCGAACGGUAACGGGCCUUCGGGUGCCGACGAGUGGCGAACGGGUGAGUAAUGCAUCGGAACGUACCUUUCAGUGGGGGAUAACGUAGCGAAAGUUACGCUAAUACCGCAUAUUCUGUGAGCAGGAAAGCAGGGGAUCGCAAGACCUUGCGCUGAUUGAGCGGCCGAUGUCAGAUUAGCUAGUUGGUGAGGUAAAGGCUCACCAAGGCGACGAUCUGUAGCGGGUCUGAGAGGAUGAUCCGCCACACUGGAACUGAGACACGGUCCAGACUCCUACGGGAGGCAGCAGUGGGGAAUUUUUGGACAAUGGGGGGCAACCCUGAUCCAGCCAUGCCGCGUGAGUGAAGAAGGCCUCGG